GAUGAACGCUGGCGGCGUGCCUAAUACAUGCAAGUCGAGCGAACAGACGAGGAGCUUGCUCCUCUGACGUUAGCGGCGGACGGGUGAGUAACACGUGGAUAACCUACCUAUAAGACUGGGAUAACUUCGGGAAACCGGAGCUAAUACCGGAUAAUAUAUUGAACCGCAUGGUUCAAUAGUGAAAGACGGUUUUGCUGUCACUUAUAGAUGGAUCCGCGCCGCAUUAGCUAGUUGGUAAGGUAACGGCUUACCAAGGCGACGAUGCGUAGCCGACCUGAGAGGGUGAUCGGCCACACUGGAACUGAGACACGGUCCAGACUCCUACGGGAGGCAGCAGUAGGGAAUCUUCCGCAAUGGGCGAAAGCCUGACGGAGCAACGCCGCGUGAGUGAUGAAGGUCUUCGGAUCGUAAAGUUCUGUUAUUAGGGAAGAACAAAUGUGUAAGUAACUAUGCACGUCUUGACGGUACCUAAUCAGAAAGCCACGGCUAACUACGUG
rnacentral:rRNA from 1 species